ensembl:lncRNA
AUGGGGUUAGGGAGAGGAGUGAUGGGGUUAGGGAGAGGAGUGAUGAGGUUAGGGAGAGGAGUGAUGAGGUUAGGGAGAGGAGUGAUAGAGAGUGAGGAUGAGGGAGAGUGAGGAUGAGGUUAGGGAGAGGAGUGAUGGAGAGUGAGGAUGAGGUUAGGGAGAGGAGUGAUGGGGAGUGAGGAUGAGGGAGAGUGAGGAUGAGGAGUGAUGGAGAGUGAGGAUGAGGUUAGGGAGAGGAGUGGUGAGGAUGAGGUUAGGGAGAGGAGUGAUGGAGUGAGGAUGAGGUUAGGGAGAGGAGGGAUGGGGGGAGGGGGAGUGAGGAUGAGGUUAGGGAGAGGAGUGAUGAGGUUAGGGAGAGGAGUGAUGAGGUUAGGGAGAGGAGUGAUGGGGUUAGGGAGAGGAGUGAGG